CUCUCUUCAUGUUUGGUCCCUAAGCCUUUAGAAGCAACUAUUUGGGUGUGCUUAAUGAAAUGCUCUCCUCUUUGCUCAUGCUCUAGUCCCUUCCCUCCUUUCCUCUUGGUGCCUUCUCCAUUCCAGGCCAUGAGACCUGCUCCAGCAGCUCCAGGCCACCUGGAGUGCACAUCCAUUUCCCUGCUGGGGACAGUACUGGUGUCAGCUUCCACAGCCUAGCCCAGCAGUUUUCACACCCUGUUUGACCAUGCACCAGGAGGGAAGGAGCAUGAAACAGACUAUAUGUUAAGAAUGGUACCUCUACCCUGACAAACAACAGGAAAUCAGUGAUCUUCAUGGAGAUUUUCCUCUCUGGUGAUACUGGUGAUCAGUGUGCAUGAGAAACUGUGAGUAAAAGGGCCUUCUAACUGCAACAGUAGUGGGAUGAAUUAAAAAGGGAUUUGUUCUUUAACACACACAGGCAAUGAACAAUAGGAACAGUCUCCUUGUGCCUGUUUACUUCAUCUCAAAUCUUCAUGACAUUUUUGCUCUUUUUAUUAAUGCUGUCUGCUCUCUUUUUUUUCCACAAAUCAGUCUGAAUGCACAGGUAAUCCAAUAAUACUUGAGUGUUGAACUUCUGAACUGAAAGUGUGUUCUAAACCCUUGAGCUAGAUAUAAAAUGUUUCAUAUCAUUUCUCUAUGCAGAGAGGGCACAGCAGUCUGUACCAUGCAUACAGCUGAUUCUUUGCACUAAGACCAUUUCAUCACCAUUUCUUUUCCACAGAAGUUCAUUCUGUUGUAAUUAAAUAUACUAUAUUUCCAAUGCUAGAAGAAGUUCAGAGUUUUCAGUAUUGAUAUCUCAUAGCUCUCCACAGAACAAGCACUGUGGAAAAAAUCAGUGUCUGCACUUUCUUGUAAGACUCCCAUUUUAACCCAUCCUGUCUACUGCUCUGGCAGUGUGAAAAUCAUUUGCCCUCUGCUCCCUCCAACCCUCACCCUACAUAUCACUUUUCGUACUUAGCACUGUUUACAUGUUUAAUGGCCACAAAACCAACAUGGUUUUCUACUGCCCUAAUGGAAGACAAAUAGGAAAUAUGUCUGACAGGCCCUUUUCAGGUAUGUUUAGGGGCUGUAAAAAGGACAUUACUAGUGAAGUAACCUAAGAUCUCAUUUCAGACAGACUUAUCAUCAAAGAGCCAGAGCCUACAUUAAUGAUCCUGAAGCAAUCUUGAAUAAAGAAUUAUGACUGCUGGGGCUAGAAGAGCUGAAGCUUUUUUUUUUUUUUUUCAGACAUUUCUAAUCAACUGAAUUAAUACUUCAUACAUGUCUGUUAUGCUCCUUGUUCUCUGCAUGGUGGGUCUUUGGAUAAUUGAAUUAGGUUUGAUAUGUAUCUAACUCGCAUCAGGAGUAUGGAUGAAUGAAUAAGAAGUGUGUAAGUGCCAUAGUCAAUGAAUUUUGCCAAUAUUCCUACUCUUGACUGGACAAAAACACUACUAUAUUGCUUUGUGUAUGAUAACUUAAGUAUCUAUCAGCUGCUGAGCAAUCCUUCAUUUAACCUUUUACAUUAUUUUGAGUGAACAUCAACCAAUAGUACAUUUCUUUUCCUUUAUCACAAGUGACUUUAACCUGCUAAUCAGAUUCCACAUUUCCUUCUUGGAGAAAGAAUUGACCUUUCAGUGUAAUACAAUUUUAUCAUUCUGCAUCCUUUGAUAGAACCAGAACACAGAGUAAUCCCUCUGUGCAGACAUGACUCAUAUUCCAUGACAUGACUCUUCUUCUGAUGCUGCCAGAGAUCCUGGAACCUUACUUUGUAAGAAUAGGACAUAUGCCAUCACAAAGGAAUGAUAAGUAAUAAUCUUUUGCAAGCAGAACUGAAGAACAUACUAUCUCUCUUAAUCAGGUCUGGAUUUCCUGUGUUCACAGCCUUCUGAAUCCACAGGCACUCCUCCAGAGAUAUUUGUGUACUGUCACAGAACAUAUUUUGAAACAUUUGAAAGAUGUAUUUCAUUCUGAAAACUAUUUCUUUCAGUGAGGAAGUAACAGAAAGUAUAAACUUUAAUUAUAAGAUCAGUUCAUUCACUACUAGAGAAUGGAUUUCUCUCCCUGUCUUUGCAACUAAGUGAGCUCAACUUAGUUUCAAAUCUCUUCCUCUUAGGAAGGCUAUCAUUUUCUAACGGCUACAUAGGAAGCCAUUAGAAAAAAAAGCCUUGCCUUCUACACUAGGCAGGUUCAUUUCAUUCAAACUGGAUCCCUUCUCCCUUAGCGAAUUCCUCUGAUCUGGAACAUGUCUGUUUUAGAUGGGCUGACGCAUCAGAGUCCAGCUUCUGUUGAUAACAGUGUAGGGAAAUCAUGAUCUUAACCUAAAUGAAUCACUCAUGUAAAGAAUGUUCCUAUGUUAAAUGAUUAAAACGAUGUUAAAACCUUUUGUUAGGUCACAUUUUCCUCAUUGACACACAAAUGCAGUAGUGUUUCUAUACAGAGCUUUCCAAAUGAAUUAUGCUUUGGUUUAGAGAUCUGCAUUUCACAUCUUCUCAUACUCCUCACACUUAGAUACUUCUUGCUUUAAUAGGGCAAGUAACUCAAUAUAUUUUUACUGCCCAUAUUUUAAAAUUAAUGUAUUGACAGGGAACUAUGGCAGUGUCCGAGUUUUAAUGACUCUCGAAUUGGUGUUAACUCCCUUCUUCUUUUUUAUUUUAAUCUAUUGGUGGAAACCAUUACACUACAAUAAAAGUUUACUGUUG
rnacentral:lncRNA from 7 species